UCCAGAAUGCUCCAUAAUCUCCA
rnacentral:siRNA from 1 species